rnacentral:rRNA from 1 species
AUUGAACGCUGGCGGCAGGCCUAACACAUGCAAGUCGAGCGGAUGAAGGGAGCUUGCUCCUGGAUUCAGCGGCGGACGGGUGAGUAAUGCCUAGGAAUCUGCCUGGUAGUGGGGGAUAACGUCCGGAAACGGGCGCUAAUACCGCAUACGUCCUGAGGGAGAAAGUGGGGGUCUUUGGGCCCUACGCUAUCAGAUGAGCCUAGGUCGGAUUAGCUAGUUGGGGGGGUAAAGGCCUACCAAGGCGACGAUCCGUAACUGGUCUGAGAGGAUGAUCAGUCACACUGGAACUGAGACACGGUCCAGACUCCUACGGGAGGCAGCAGUGGGGAAUAUUGGACAAUGGGCGAAAGCCUGAUCCAGCCAUGCCGCGUGUGUGAAGAAGGUCUUCGGAUUGUAAAGCACUUUAAGUUGGGAGGAAGGGCAGUAAGUUAAUACCUUGCUGUUUUGACGUUACCAACAGAAUAAGCACCGGCUAACUUCGUG